CGCAUGCGCGUCGCGCUCUCACUACGGAAGCGCAGAAAGGAAACGGCAGCGAUCGCAGCUCCGGUGCCGCUCAGUUUGGACUAAAUAAAGGCGGAUAAAAUCCAUCACGAUGUCGGGAUUUGACUCAAAUCCAUUCGCAGAUCCAGUCGACGUCAAUCCCUUUCAGGAUCCGUCUGUCACUCAGGUGACGAACUCUGGAGUGGAUCACAUUGAAAGCUUUAGUCCGUUUCCGGAUGGGAAUCAGGGAUCCACUAUUCCAGCAUCAAGCGCCCCGACUCAACCUGCUGUCCUGCAGCCGUCAGUCGAGCCCAGUCCACAGGCCACAGCUGCCGCUGCGCAGGCCAGUCUGAUCAAACAACAGGAGGAGCUGGAGAGAAAAGCAGCAGAGCUGGAGAGAAGAGAACAAGAGCUGCAGAGUAGAGGAGCACCCACAGGCAAACAGAACAACUGGCCUCCCCUGCCCAAGAGAUUUCCCAUCCAGCCUUGCUUCUACCAGGACUUCUCAGAGGAGAUCCCUCAGGAGCACCAGCGUCUCUGCAAGAUGAUCUACUACCUGUGGAUGUGGGAGUGUGUGACGCUGUUUCUGAAUGUUCUGGCGUGUCUGGCUGAUUUCACCACUAACUCAGAGGCAGGCGUUGACUUCGGCCUCUCCAUCCUCUGGUUCAUCCUCUUCGCUCCCUGCUCCUUCAUCUGCUGGUUCAGGCCCGUCUAUAAGGCCUUCAGGUCUGACAGCUCCUUCAAUUUCUUCUUCUUCUUCUUCGUUUUCUUCGCUCAAAUCGUCAUUUCCGUCAUCCAGGCUGUGGGGAUUCCCAAAUGGGGAAACAGAUGUAUUUCUCUUCCUGUCUCUCCGAGCGUCUCUUCCUGCACUAACGGUUUUCUGCUGCUGGACUUCCUGUAAAACUCUUGCUUCCUGUCUGCAGUUUGUCGCUCUUCAAUGUUCUUCUUCCCUCAUCGGCUGGAUUUCCGCCAUAUCAGUGAUCGGCUCUAAUAAAGCAGUGGGAGCCAUUAUGAUGGUGGUUGCGGCUUUCUUUACAGCCGCUGCGGCGCUCUCUGUCGUUUUACUCAAAAUGGUUCAUUCGCACUAUCGCCGCACCGGGGCCAGUUUCCAGAAGGCACAGCAGGAGUUUUCUCAGGGUGUCCUGACAAACCGCACUUUCCAGAGCGCAGCCACUAGUGCCGCCACCACGGCCGCCCAGAGCUCACUGCAGAGGAACUAGAACCACAAAAACAGCACCAGAUCACACGUCUCCUUCCCAGAAUCCUCUGCUCAUUGGCCUGCUGCUCCAAAGCCCAGCUACGGCCCCAAAACUCCAUCGGGUCCCAGUACGGACUGCAGAGGCACUACUUUCAUGGUUAUUUUUGGGUUUUUGAAGGCGAAGGUAUGAAGCGUAAAUGUUUGUAUAUUUGUGUGUGCGCAGGAGUAGUCAUCCACAUCAGUAGUGCUGUAAAUAUAUAUAUAUAAAGUAAUUUAACGUUUCCCAGUCAUGCAAAGUGGUACUUAAGUGUCCUUAAAUUAAAAUGAUCAUGAAGGAGCUCAUCUGUUAAAGCCUUGAUGAAGUUUAGAUGUUAUAACAAGAGUUCUAGAUGUAAAUAAUGUUCUCUAGGGAAUGUGCCAUGUGCUUUCCUUGCUCAUAUUUGAUUUGCUGAAAAGAUUUUCCUAUUUGUGCCAAACAUAAUGACAUGCAUCAUGGGAAGCGGUAAACGUUUAUUGUCUUAAUAGUAAGACUGAAGGUUUGGGUUGGAUUUUUUACAUUGGGUUUAAUUCAUGCUGCAUCGUCUGUUGAUUGUGUACAAGCUUGUUUUUUUAGGUAGCUGAUUAUAAACGGUCCAAUCAAAUCAGUUUUACAUGAACGUAAAUUUAAUUACUUUUUUUAAAGCCUUUUGAAACAAAGCGCUCCUGAAAUGUGUUGAUAUAAAAUACCACUUAGAGACGGCUACACAAUGUUAUCAGAUUAGAUUUGAAGAUGUUUUUCAUGGUAUUUUUUGAACUAAUUAAAUUUUUCUGAUUAACA